GACGAACGCUGGCGGCGCGCUUAACACAUGCAAGUCGAACGGAAAGGCCUGCUUUCCCUUGUGGAUUGCGGGUACUCGAGUGGCGAACGGGUGAGUAACACGUGAGUGAUCUGCCCCCAACUUGGGUAUAAGCCUGGGAAACUGGGUCUAAUUCCCGAUAGGACUGCAGGGUGGUGCCUGUGGUGGAAAACGAUUUUCUAGUGGUUGGGGAUGAGCUCGCGGCCUAUCAGCUUGUUGGUGGGGUAAUGGCCUACCAAGGCGGCGACGGGUAGCCGGCCUGAGAGGGUGGACGGCCACAUUGAGACUGGGAUACGGCCCAGACGCCUACGGGAGGCAGGAGUGGGGAAUAUUGCACAAUGGGCGGAAGCCUGAUGCAGCGACGCCGCGUGGGGGAUGACGGCCUUCGGGUUGUAAACUCCUUUCGACCGCGAGGAAGCCACCUGGUUGGAAGGGUGGUGACGGUAGUGGUAGAAGAAGCACCGGCUAACUACGUG
rnacentral:rRNA from 1 species